ACUUAACAAGGACAGGAAGCAAACCAAAUAUGGACACAAGAGGGCGGGAACACAAGUCACGCAACAGAGGACUGACACCAUGCAGUAAUGUCAUCAUUAAGAAGCAAAACCAUGGAUGUUGUAAAUGCUGUAAAAAUGAUCGUACUACUCUUUUUGCUGGGCUGCAGGGUGACCCAGAUACAGCUGGCUCCAGAGCUUUUGGCAAGGACUGCUUUUUUUCUAAGGAAACUCUGUGGUUGCUGCUCAGAAGGAGGAGAGACAGGAUAAAAUGGGAGAGGCGAGAAGGGAGCAGGAAAGUACAUUUGACCUGGGACUCGAUCUCAAGCUGUCUGAGGCACAUUUUUCAAACACUAUAAGGGGAUUGUAUAAGUGUAAGAUGUUUAGUAUGAAACUAAUAGGUUCUUUUAAACUCUGUCAAUCGGUCCUUUGUUACAAUUGUAACACUGGUGUAGCAGUUCAUGGUUGUUGCAUAACCUUUUUUUGGCACUGAUCUUGUACUGCAUUUGUCUUGUACUGCCCGUUUUGCAUGCAUGUAAAUGGUGAUGUUUUCUUCUUUUAAAUAAUUGUGCAACAAAACACUGUGUAGACUAAGCAACUUCAAAUAUGACAAUGCAUGUACUGUGUUUUAUUGAAAUGGUGUGGAUGAAUGAGAUAGAAGCUACCCAAAAAAGGAGAUAUCUUUAACAUCUCAACACUCUCACAAUGCUUUCCAGCUCAUCUGGUACAGUGAUGCCCUUGGGUUGCCAGGUCUACAUGUCAAAACUAUAUACAAAUACAUAUUUUAAAGUAGCGACGCGCGAUAUCAUAAAUAAUUUCAGGAGUCAAAGAACAUAUCAUAGACAUAUUCUAUCUAAACUCUAGCCGAAAUAUACCGUAUAAAGUGAAUAUAUGAAUCUGAUGUUGUUUUUAUGAUUUUAACCAUGCCAUAAGAGUCUGAAUUCACUCGUAGAUAUUACAGAUACUUUAUUUUCUUGUCAAAGGUGAAGCAAAGCGGACUACAUUUGAGGUCACUGUUACUGUUAGUGGUAUAAUCAGCUUCAUCUUCAUGAUGUUAAUCAUUUAUUUGUUGUGUUGUUGUUGUUUUGUUUUGUUUUUUUCUUUUUUCAUAUUCUUUAUCGAUUUUUGUACACAUGAAGUUCUUCUGUUG